UACGGGGGGAGCAAGCGUUGUUCGGAAUUACUGGGCGUAAAGGGCGCGUAGGCGGUUUGUUAAGUCCUGUGUGAAAUCCCCCGGCUCAACUGGGGAACUGCACAGGAAACUGGCGGGCUUGAGUUCGGGAGAGGGAAGCGGAAUUCCGGGUGUAGCGGUGAAAUGCGUAGAUAUCCGGAGGAACACCGGUGGCGAAGGCGGCUUCCUGGACCGACACUGACGCUGAGGCGCGAAAGCUAGGGGAGCAAACAGG
rnacentral:rRNA from 1 species